UACAGAGGUCUCAAGCGUUGUUCGGAUUUACUGGGCGUAAAGGGUGCGUAGGUGGCGAGGUAAGUUUGAUGUGAAAUCUCCGAGCUCAACUCGGAAACGGCAUUGAAUACUAUCCCGCUUGAGGGUCGGAGGGGAGACUGGAAUUCUCGGUGUAGCAGUGAAAUGCGUAGAUAUCGAGAGGAACACCAGUGGCGAAGGCGAGUCUCUGGACGACUCCUGACACUGAGGCACGAAAGCUGGGGGAGCAAACAGG
rnacentral:rRNA from 1 species